CGGACGGGUGAGUAAUGUCUGGGAAACUGCCCGAUGGAGGGGGAUAACUACUGGAAACGGUAGCUAAUACCGCAUAACGUCGCAAGACCAAAGAGGGGACCUUCGGGCCUCUUGCCAUCGGAUGUGCCAGAUGGGAUUAGCUAGUAGGUGGGGUAACGGCUCACCUAGGCGACGAUCCCUAGCUGGUCUGAGAGGAUGACCAGCCACACUGGAACUGAGACACGGCCAG
rnacentral:rRNA from 1 species